rnacentral:lncRNA from 1 species
UGACUGCAGUUUACAAAUACGACAGCCUUGACCAUAAUGCAUGCACCGAGUGAUAUUGCUCUAAUUGUGAAGAAAGCUAUUGCUUCAAAGUGAAGCUGCAUCGCUCCUUUGAAGCACAGUUUAAUUAAUGCACUGCAUUUAUUUGUCUGUGUGCUUGACACUUAAUGCUCCUGCAGUGUUAUCUGUGUGCUUUUUCCUUCUAUGUGUGCAUAUGUCAGCAGGUGUUCGAGGAACACCCAUUUUAUUUAUUUAUAUUGUAAGCCAUAUACUCAGCACAUGGUGAUGACUUGCCUCUUGAUGAGCAGCCCGCAAGCCUUUUCUUGUGGGUUGCAUGUGAGUUGUGUGCAGCUGGAUAGUGUGUCUAUUCUGAGCAGGCAUUUGUGAUCGAGUCCUUUGCUUUGCCAGUGCACUUGAGUCUCUUGUACAUUUUUUACAUAUACACAUGCAAAAGAGGAGAUGUCAUUAGAGUCUGACUCUUGACAAAUAAAAGAAGAAAAGAUUUGACCUCAA